GGGUCCGGACACACUGAGGAUUGACAGAUAUACGCUCAUUGCAGUUCGCUGCAUGAGCUGAAAGAUGCUAGUUCUUUCAUGAUUAUGUGAUAGGUGGUGCAUGGCCGUUCUUAGUUCGUGGAGUGGUCUGUCUGCUUAAUUGCGUAUCAAUAAUAGAGACCUAGUAUACGCGUGGAUUUCGCGUGGUAGUGACCCCCUGUUUAACGACAGGCGUGUGUCGCACACGCGUACCUACGCACUGGUCUCAGAUAGCAACGAACGUGACCGUAUUCUAUUGUUGCAGUGAAAUGUGCCUUCGGGUACGACCCACUGCUUAGUAUAUGUACGUGCUUCGGCGCGAACAAUAUACAUUAAACUAUAGAGACCGCUGUUUCUUCUUUAAACCGGAGGAAGGAUACGGCAAUAACAGGUCUGUGAUGCCCUCAGAUGUUCCGGGCUGCACACGUGCUACAAUGAUCAUUGCACUGUGCAUCUAACCCAAUGUGCGUGGACGCCGCAUGCAUGUGCUCUUCGGGGUACACGCAUUGCUGUUGCGACCACGCCGAACCUACUUCGAAAGUAAAAUUUCUCAGUGGGU
rnacentral:rRNA from 1 species